rnacentral:rRNA from 1 species
CCUACGGGCGGCAGCAGUGGGGAAUAUUGCACAAUGGGGGAAACCCUGAUGCAGCAACGCCGCGUGAGGGAGGAAGUCUUUCUGUAUUGAAAGCUCUAUCAGCAGGGGAUAGAAACGAAGGUACCUGAAGCAGACGCCCCUGCUAACUACGUGCCAGCAGCUGCGGUCAUACGUAGGGGGCAAGCGUUAUCCGGAUUUACUGGGUGUAAAGGGUGCGUAGACGGAAAGGCAAGUCAGAUGUGAAAACCCAAGGCUCAACCAUGGGACUGCUUUUGAAACUGUCAAACUAGAGUACGGGAGAGGUAAGAGGAAUGCCUAGUGUAGCGGUGAAAUGCGUAGAUAUCAGGAGGAACACCAGUGGCGAAGGCGUCUUACUGGACCGAAACUGACGUUGAGGCUCGAAAGCGUGGGGAGCAAACAGGAUUAGAUACCCUGGUAGUC